UGAGGAUAAUACUUGAUAGAUGUGAGACCCUGGAAGGAACCCACAUUCAAACUCGAGCUUAAGGAUGGGGCUGCGGCGGAUUAGGUAGUUGGCGGGGUAAUAGCCCACCAAGCCUGUGAUCCGUAAGGGCUCUUAGCGGAGAGGCCCUGAGAGGGAAUCUGAGACACUAUUCCCAGCCCUACGGGGUGCAGCAGGUAGGAAUCUUUUGCAAUGCGCGCAAGCGUGACAAAGCGAGCCAGAGUGUUUUUCAAUGAAAAACUUUUGCCAAAUGCAAAAAGUUUGGCGAAUAAGGACUGGGUAAGACGAGUGCCAGCCGCCGCGGUAAUCCUCGCGGUCCAAGUCGCAGCCAUCAUUAUUGGGNCUAAAACAUCCGUAGCUUGUUUGGUAAGUUCCUUGUGAAAUCUUGUCUCUUAAGGGCAAGGCGUGCGGGGAAUACUGCUGAACUAGAGACUGGAAGACGUAAGAAGUAUGUUCAAAGGAGCGGUUAAAUGUGUUAAUCUUGAGCAGACUCACAACAGCGAAGGCAUCUUACGAGGACAGUUCUGACAGUAAAGGAUGAAGGCUAGGGGCGCAAAACGGAUUAGAUACCCGUGUAGUCCUAGCAGUAAACACUGCGCACUAAACAUUAGUACCUCUUCGAGAGGUAUUGGUGCUG
rnacentral:rRNA from 1 species